rnacentral:rRNA from 1 species
GAUGAACGCUGGCGGCGUGCCUAAUACAUGCAAGUCGAGCGAACAGACGAGGAGCUUGCUCCUCUGACGUUAGCGGCGGACGGGUGAGUAACACGUGGAUAACCUACCUAUAAGACUGGGAUAACUUCGGGAAACCGGAGCUAAUACCGGAUAAUAUAUUGAACCGCAUGGUUCAAUAGUGAAAGACGGUUUUGCUGUCACUUAUAGAUGGAUCCGCGCCGCAUUAGCUAGUUGGUAAGGUAACGGCUUACCAAGGCGACGAUGCGUAGCCGACCUGGGAGGGUGAUCGGCCACACUGGAACAGAGACACGGUCCAGACUCCUACGGGAGGCAGCAGUAGGGAAUCUUCCGCAAUGGGCGAAAGCCUGACGGAGCAACGCCGCGUGAGUGAUGAAGGUCUUCGGAUCGUAAAACUCUGUUAUUAGGGAAGAACAAAUGUGUAAGUAACUAUGCACGUCUUGACGGUACCUAAUCAGAAAGCCACGGCUAACUACGUG